GUUUGAUCCUGGCUCAGAUUGAACGCUGGCGGCAUGCUUUACACAUGCAAGUCGAACGGCAGCGGGGGCUUCGGCCUGCCGGCGAGUGGCGAACGGGUGAGUAAUGCAUCGGAACGUGCCCAUGUCGUGGGGGAUAACGUAGCGAAAGCUACGCUAAUACCGCAUACGCCCUGAGGGGGAAAGCGGGGGAUUCUUCGGAACCUCGCGCGAUUGGAGCGGCCGAUGUCGGAUUAGCUAGUAGGUGAGGUAAAGGCUCACCUAGGCGACGAUCCGUAGCGGGUCUGAGAGGAUGAUCCGCCACACUGGGACUGAGACACGGCCCAGACUCCUACGGGAGGCAGCAGUGGGGAAUUUUGGACAAUGGGCGCAAGCCUGAUCCAGCCAUGCCGCGUGAGUGAAGAAGGCCUCGG
rnacentral:rRNA from 1 species